AAGAUCAGAGGAAAGGAGGGAAGCUAUGGAGAUUGAUCAGUCUAGAGAUGAUAGCAUGGGUAUAGGCAGUUUUGAGGAAGGUAUGGGAGAGUCGCAGGGAGGUGCUCAGACCUCAGGUUUUGGCUAUCCAGAGUAUCCGAUGGGAGGUAUGUCGGAGUACUCGAGUUUUGUGCCAUAUCCUCUUUAUAUGCCUUAUAUGCCUUAUCCUUACUAUCCACCAUAUCCGAUGUAUCCAUCUUCCCCUACCCAUCCAAGUGCAGCACACCUAGAGCCAAAUGACCCAGUACUACCACC
rnacentral:lncRNA from 1 species